rnacentral:lncRNA from 1 species
CUCAUUUGAAUUAAUGACAGUAUUUGAAGAGUUUGACAAAUUGCAGAAAGGUGAAAAUUGCUCGAGAAAAUCAAACCUUUGAUCAACUGAAGAACAAUUUGAGCUAUAACAACAGUUUCUGGAUUGAAAAUCAAUGGCCUUUUGGUGAAGUGAGAGAAAAUGAGAACUUAGGGUUUUUGAAGAGAGUGAGCUAUAGAGAGAAAGGACAAAUGGAGAGAAAUGACAGACCUUGAGAAUAAUGUGCCCACGAAACCCAAUAGCAGACAUCCAGAGAGCCGGUGGAUGACGUUUUCCGGCGAACGGCGGCAGCGGUGUUAACUAUAAUGUUAACAGCGCAUUGUAGUAG